rnacentral:lncRNA from 1 species
GGCAGAGCCCAGCCACCAGGGUCUGCUCCAUGCCUGGUCCCUGGAGAGGCCCUCACCCUCUCUGCUUUCACCCAACCCGACUGACACGGAGUAGGAGGUGGGAAUCAUGCAGGCAGGGAGCUUAGGAAGCCUGGUUCAAGAUUGCUUUGAAUGGCAGGCCCCCUGCUGUGCUCCUGGGGAGAGAGCCUGAAACCUGGAUGCUCGGGAGCCCCUCAGAUCCGUCAUCUGUCCCCGACACCCCUGUGCACACACCUACACUUGAUGGCAGGGAAAUAAUUAUUUCCUGCAGAAUGGGCUGCAAAUGUAACAAACCCCCUGACCUUCAGUCUGAAGAGAGAGAACUAUCAACCACACAGAAGCAAAGAUCCAGAGAAAUACUGAGGGAUGCUACCAGACACUCAACCAGGGCCACUCUCCGAGAUUCCAGCCAGCCACACAGCAAAGAUGCUGGCCGGGGACACUGCCCCAAACCACCAGACAGAACCCCAAAGAAACAGCUCCACACACAGUGGAAGAUACACCAGAGACUGUUAGAAGGACCAUCAGACAAAGCCAAAGAGACAGGUAGAUGAAACCAGAUAACCAGCCAGAGAGGUGGUCAGAGAACAGCGACACAAUCAAAGGACCCACCAGAAACACUGUAAAGGACUCAGCUAGACCCAGGCAGAUACACUGCCGAAGGACGAGCAAGGAGCACAGGCAGUGAAGCCGUCGGCGACAAAGCCAGAGAGCUAAGACACUGUCAGAAACAGUGCCAGAGAAACCGUCUGACACACAAGCAGAGAAAUACCAGAGAAACUGAUAGACGCAAACAGGCGUACACCCAGAAAAACAGCUUGAGAGAAGAGCCAGAGCCACAGCCAGAUGCUCAGUCAGGAAGUAUCCACACCACUCCAAACACUGCCAGAGACACUGUCAGACACACAGUCAGACACACUGCCAGAGACACCGUUAUAAAGACUGCCAGAGAAACAGCCAGACACACAGCCAGAAAAACUGACAGAGACGCAGUGCCAGAUAUACCCCGAGAAAGUGCCAGAGACUCAGCUCCAGACAGUGCAGACAUAGCAUAACAGAGACAAAUGUGGGUAUCAGCCUGAAGCAGCUGCGGAGAGGCUGGAGAGCAAUGAACUUCCUGGGGCUUCCUGUGGGAGAGGGCUCCUGCCUGCCUUUUGCUACCCUUGACCCUCUCCAGGAAAGUCCCCUCCUCUGAGCCUGCUUUUCCUUUCCUCCCUGUCACAGCCACAGGUGCCCUGACUGCCCCUCCCUGGCACAGUAAAUCUCUCUGUGUCCUAAGUGGCCCCAGCUACCCUUUGCGCAUCAGUGACUCCUGGAGCCUUAGCUACCACUUGGCCUGGCUCCUUCUGACCCUCAGCCCCUCACCACUCUUCAGCUACUCCUCAGGCCUAGGAGGUUAAGACAAUGGCCAAAGUUACACAGCCAGCAAGCCGUGCAGCCAGGAAAUGAACCCAGGACUGCCUGAAUUCAGAGCUGGUGUAAGAGAGAGAAAACGAGACCAGCAGCCAGAGGCCUACCUGGUUCCCCAACCUCAGCCCUGGCCAGUCG